GCCUGGGUGGCUCAGUUGGUUAAGCAUCUGACUUCAGCUCAGGUCAUGAUCUCACAGUUCGUGGGUUUGAGCCCUGCGUCAGGCU
rnacentral:tRNA from 1 species